rnacentral:rRNA from 1 species
UACAGAGGAGCCAAGCGUUGUCCGGAUUGACUGGGCGUAAAGCGCACGCAGGCGGGGGUGCGCGUGGGGUGUGAAAUCUGGCCGCUUAACGGCCAGGCGCCAUCCCAUACGGCACGCCUGGAGCCUUGCAGAGGUCGGUGGAAUUGCCGGUGUAGUGGUGAAAUGCGUAGAGAUCGGCAGGAACACCCAGGGGGAAACCAGCCGACUGGGCAGCACCUGACGCUGAGGUGCGAGAGCGUGGGGAGCGAACCGG